rfam:Cicer arietinum chromosome Ca7, whole genome shotgun sequence.
UCAGCAGUGAUGAGCCUCUAACAUAUAAGUAGAAUCCCUAUGUGGGGUUCUUCAGUGAAAUAUCCAUGUUACGCUUGGCUUCUGAGCUAU